AUUGAACGCUAGCGGGAUGCCUUACACAUGCAAGUCGAACGGAGUGGCGAACGGGUGAGUAAUGUAUCGGAACGUGCCCCGUAGCGGGGGAUAACUAAGCGAAAGCGUAGCUAAUACCUCAUACUUUUAGAGCGGCCGGUAUCGGAUUCGCUAGUUGGUGGGGUAACGGCUAACCCAGGCGACGAUCCGUAGCUGGUUUGAGAGGAGGACCAGCCACACUGGGACUGAGACACGGCCCAGACUCCUACGGGAGGCAGCAGUGGGGAAUUUGGGACAAUGGGGGAAAUCCUGAUGCAGCCAUCCCGCGUGUGCGAUGAAGGCCUUCGGGUUGUAAAGCACUUUCGGCAGGAAAGCGGUACCUGCAGAAGAAGCACCGGCUAACUACGUGCCAGCAGCCGCGGUAAUUC
rnacentral:rRNA from 1 species